UACGGAGGGUGCAAGCGUUAAUCGGAAUUACUGGGCGUAAAGCGUACGUAGGCGGCUUUUUAAGUCGGGUGUGAAAUCCCUGAGCUUAACUUAGGAAUUGCAUUCGAUACUGGGAAGCUAGAGUAUGGGAGAGGAUGGUAGAAUUCCAGGUGUAGCGGUGAAAUGCGUAGAGAUCUGGAGGAAUACCGAUGGCGAAGGCAGCCAUCUGGCCUAAUACUGACGCUCAGGUGCGAAAGCGUGGGGAGCAAACAGG
rnacentral:misc_RNA from 1 species